ACGGCUCAGUAACACGUGGACAACCUACCCUCAGCACGGGGAUAAACCCGGGAAACUGGGUAUAAUACCCGAUAGUUCUGGUUUGCUGGAAUGCUUCCAGGACGAGAGCUCCGGCGACUGAGGAUGGGUCUGCGGCCUAUCAGGUAGUAGUGGGUGUAAUGUACCUACUAGCCUACGACGGGUACGGGUCGUGAGAGCGAGAGCCCGGAGAUGGAUUCUGAGACACGAAUCCAGGCCCUACGGGGUGCAGCAGGCGCGAAAACUUUACAAUGCUGGCAACAGCGAUAAGGGGACCUCGAGUGCCAGGAUACAAUCUUGGCUGUCGUAAUGCCUAAAAAGCAUUGCAUAGCAAGGGCCGGGCAAGACCGGUGCCAGCCGCCGCGGUAACACCGGCGGCUCGAGUGGUAACCGCUAUUAUUGGGUCUAAAGGGUCUGUAGCCGGCCGGAUAAGUCUCUUGGGAAAUCCAGCUGCUCAACAGUUGGGCUUUCAGGAGAUACUGUUCGGCUCGAGGCCGGGAGAGGUGAGAGGUACUUCAGGGGUAGGGGUGAAAUCUUGUAAUCCUUGAAGGACCACCAGUGGCGAAGGCGUCUCACCAGAACGGACCUGACGGCAAGGGACGAAAGCUAGGGGCACGAACCGGAUUAGAUACCCGGGUAGUCCUAGCCGUAAACGAUACUCGCUAGGUGUCAGCCACGGUGCGACCGUGGUUGGUGCCGUAGGGAAGCCGUGAAGCGAGCCACCUGGGAAGUACGGCCGCAAGGCUGAAACUUAAAGGAAUUGGCGGGGGAG
rnacentral:rRNA from 1 species